rnacentral:misc_RNA from 1 species
UAGAGGUCAUACAUACACAUCGGUCAGCACAUCUACGUUUGUCGUAUGUCGGAUGGAUGUGGGGCCGUGCCUUGGCACACCCCCCCCUUACAAACACGCUUGCACACGCUGUCGUCGGGCGCGCGUGGGCCACCAGGCCCCCGCGCCCCCAAACACACUAGGAUGAUCCAUCCGCAAAUUCGUUUACGGAUA